UGAAUUAGGAAAAAGUAUUUGGAUUUUUUUUUGUUUUGCAGAAUAGAGCCCGAACAAACACGCUAUCAUGGAGAUCGAGGUUUGUUUAUUUCAUGCAAGAACAGUAAAUGUUCCGG